CCUACGGGCGGCAGCAGUAGGGAAUCUUCGUCAAUGGGCGCAAGCCUGAACGAGCAAUGCCGCGUGAACGAGGAAGGUCUUCGGAUCGUAAAGUUCUGUUGAAGGGGAAAAAGAGCGGAGAGAGGAAAUGCUUUCUGAUUGAUAUUACCCUUCGAGGAAGUCACGGCUAACUACGUGCCAGCAGCCGCGGUAAUACGUAGGUGGCGAGCGUUAUCCGGAAUGAUUGGGCGUAAAGGGUGCGUAGGCGGCCUGCUAAGUCUGGAGUGAAAGGUACCGGCUCAACCGGUACAGGCUCUGGAAACUGGCGGGCUAGAGAGCAGGAGAGGGCGGUGGAACUCCAUGUGUAGCGGUAAAAUGCUUAGAUAUCACGAAGAACUCCGAUUGCGAAGGCAGCCUUCUAAACUGCCACUGACAUUGAUGCUCGAAAGUGUGGGUAUCAAACAGGAUUAGAUACCCCUGUAGUC
rnacentral:rRNA from 1 species